CCUACGGGAGGCAGCAGUGGGGAAUAUUGCACAAUGGGGGAAACCCUGAUGCAGCGACGCCGCGUGAGUGAAGAAGUAAUUCGUUAUGUAAAGCUCUAUCAGCAGGGAAGAAAAUGACGGUACCUGAGUAAGAAGCCCCGGCUAACUACGUGCCAGCAGCCGCGGUCAGACGGAGGGGGCAAGCGUUAUCCGGAUUUAAUGGGUGGAAAGGGAGCGUGGACGGCAGUGCAAGUCUGGAGUGAAAGGCGGGGGCUCAACCCCCGGACUGCUCUGGAAACUGUACGGCUGGAGUGCAGGAGAGGUAAGUGGAAUUCCUAGUGUAGCGGUGAAAUGCGUAGAUAUUAGGAGGAACACCAGUGGCGAAGGCGGCUUACUGGACUGUAACUGACGUUGAGGCUCGAAAGCGUGGGGAGCAAACAGGAUUAGAUACCCUGGUAGUC
rnacentral:rRNA from 1 species